CUUUCUUCUCCUAUUGCUGAUGGUCCUUCAGCUCUACCAUCUCCCACCUCCUCUCCCUCCUCCAGUCAGUAACUCUUCCUGCCUGUUCACUAGAUGCCAGCCCUUGUAUGCCAGUUGUUGUACUAUAGUACUGUACUUUCCAAGGUACUGUACUGUAAGAUUAAAAAUGUUUUCUUUAUUUUUUCUGUUUGUUUUUUUAUAAACCUAUUAUU